rnacentral:rRNA from 1 species
UCGGGAAUUUUGGGCAAUGGGGGAAACCCUGACCCAGCAACGCCGCGUGAAGGAUGAAGUAUUUCGGUAUGUAAACUUCGAAAGAAUAGGAAGAAUAAAUGACGGUACUAUUUUAUAAGGUCCGGCUAACUACGUGCCAGCAGCCGCGGUAAUACGUAGGGACCAAGCGUUGUUCGGAUUUACUGGGCGUAAAGGGCGCGUAGGCGGCAUGACAAGUCACUUGUGAAAUCUCUGGGCUUAACCCAGAACGGCCAAGUGAUACUGUCGCGCUAGAGUGCAGAAGGGGCAAUCGGAAUUCUUGGUGUAGCGGUGAAAUGCGUAGAUAUCAAGAGGAACACCUGAGGUGAAGACGGGUUGCUGGGCUGACACUGACGCUGAGGCGCGAAAGCCAGGGGAGCAAACGGGAUUAGAUACCCUUGUAGUCCCUGAGCGGGCUGGCAAGGCGCAU